UACGUAGGUGGCGAGCGUUGUCCGGAUUUACUGGGCGUAAAGGGCGUGCAGGCGGUUUGUUAAGUGCAGGGUGAAAGCUCCCGGCUCAACUGGGAGAGGUCCUUGCAUACUGGCGAACUCGAGGGAGGCAGAGGAAAGUGGAAUUCCCGGUGUAGUGGUGAUAUGCGUAGAUAUCGGGAGGAACACCUGUGGCGAAGGCGGCUUUCUGGGCCUUACCUGACGCUGAGACGCGAAAGCGUGGGGAGCGAAC
rnacentral:rRNA from 1 species